GACGAACCGAGCGACCGUUAUUCGGAAUUACUGGGCGUAAAGCGCGCGUAGGCGGCUUUGCAAGUCGGGUGUGAAAUCCCCAGGCUUAACCUGGGAACUGCAUUCGAGACUGCAUUGCUAGAGUAUGGGAGAGGGAAGUGGAAUUUCCGGUGUAGCGGUGAAAUGCGUAGAUAUCGGAAGGAACAUCAGUGGCGAAAGCGACUUCCUGGACCAAUACUGACGCUCAUGUGCGAAAGCGUGGGGAGCAAACAGG
rnacentral:rRNA from 1 species